rnacentral:rRNA from 1 species
CGUAGUAACCAACCCUUUAGACUGGGAUAGCCACUGGAAUCGGUGGGUAAUACCGGAUAAGCUCGAGAGAGGAAAGGCAGAGAAGCGCUAAAGGACGGAACUGCGCCCCAUCAGAUAGUUGGUGAGGUAAAGGCUUACCAAGUCAAAGACGGGAAACCGACGUGAGAGCGUGUACGGUCACAAGGGCACUGAGAGACGGGCCCUACUCCUACGUGUUUUUAGCAGUGGGGAAUAUUGGACAAUGGACGGAAGUCUGAUCCAGCGACGCCGCGUGGAGGAAGAAGUCCUUCGGGAUGUAAACUCAUGAAGCUAA